rnacentral:rRNA from 2 species
GGAAUAUUGCACAAUGGGCGCAAGCCUGAUGCAGCCAUGCCGCGUGUGUGAAGAAGGCCUUCGGGUUGUAAAGCACUUUCAGUCGUGAGGAAGGUGGUAGUGUUAAUAGCACUAUCAUUUGACGUUAGCGACAGAAGAAGCACCGGCUAACUCCGUGCCAGCAGCCGCGGUAAUACGGAGGGUGCGAGCGUUAAUCGGAAUUACUGGGCGUAAA